AUCCCUCUCUCAUCUUCCCUUCUUUCAUUUCUUCCCCCCACCCCACCCCACGCGAAACACAUAGUCAGCCACUCUUUUUGCGAUUUUCCUACAUAACGCCCUAGCCUCCACAACCACCUCUGUAGGCCGUAGUGGGUGCGUCCAUCCUCUCUCUCCUAGGGCCACAGUAAGCCUCUCUCUCUCUUCUCCCUAUGUUUUCUAUCUCUAUUGGUGGUAUGAUUGUGUAAAAUUUUUGAUGAUAUGAUUGUGUAAUAUUUCUAUAAUGUUGUGACGAUAUUGUAUUCCCAAAUCUCCACCUUUGUUUUUUUCAGGCAUUAUUAUAUUGUUAUAGUGGAGAGUCUUCCUUUUUCACAACUCUGUUGUGAUUGUCAUUGCAUUGCCUUACUUGUGUUUUGUUUAUGUCUAUUGGGAUAAAUAUUUUAUGCUUCUAUUUUGGGAUGCUGGAGAAGAAAAAUGAAGGCUUGUUUUUAUGUUUUCUAAAUUGUAGUUGUGCAUAGAGUAAUGAUACAUGCCUGUUUUUAAUAUUCUUUGCUUACACAGUAUGCCGGCAUAAAACUUGAAAUCCAGAAAAAUAAAUAAAAAUAGUAUUUUUAUUUGGAAGUAGACAUUGAUUGUAAAAUGGGUUGUAAAAUAGUCAUAUUGAUAUCAUUAUUCUUCAGCAUAAGAAAUUUCUUAAAGUCUUUUAUUCUCUCUGUUUUUUUUUUCCUAAAGUUUUUUUUGGACACUACCGAAAGCUAUUCUAUCUCUUGGUUUCCAUAGUUUUGUUUAUCUUUAAAGUGAACAUAUUUUACCUCAAUUUCUAUCUUUUUUUGAGGGAGGAGAUAGUUUUUUAGUGUCACCAUUUCUUGCCCAAUUAUUAUUAAGGAGUUAAACAAUUGCACAUCUACACUUAUAUGGACAACAUGAUGUGGAAGCUGAACAUUUCUUGGACUCAAGUCAAAGGUUUUAUGUUGUUUCUUCUUGAAUAUAAGUGUACAAGUGUCAAUUGUAAGUGUUGCAAUACUAAAUAAGUCCCCUAAUGUUGCAGCCAAUGAUUCGCUUUACCUUUUUGGUGUCUCUUGAGAUUUUUUUUUCUUUUGAUUAUGCUAAAAUCUGGACAGCUAUUGGAAGCCUCUGAUUAACUUCGAAGUUAUUCAUUCAUUUGUUUACUUAUGAAUUAUAAUUUUUACAAUUUCCAUCGCUGCCGUUGUCAAUAUUGCUACUACUUUUUUUGCUAAACAUGGUAGAUUGAUUGCUUAUUCUUUUGUGGAGUUUGUCCUAAUUAUUGUGAAUACAUUUAAGUUGAAUAUGUCAUAUGUUUGUUGCUCUUUCCCCAUCUUUUUGGGGAUAAUUCUGGUAUUUCUCACAUGGACUUGCUGUGGCUGUACCUUGGCAUUCUAAGCUCCCAGCCACUAGCAAUUUCUAUGAUCAAGGUAAACAUCUAGCCAUCACUUUUGAUUGGCUAUGCUUUUGAGUUUUUACUUUUUGACACUUGAGAAACUACUUUAUGCAAGAACUAUGCAGAUGCAGUAACCAUUAGAUAAUAAAAGAAAGAAAAAAAAAAUGGAAAAUUUUGGGCCUAAUUUCCUCCUGGACCUAGAUAGCAGAGUACUAUGAUAUUAUUGAGUUAAUUUGUUAUGCUUUUGCACUCUUUAUUAAACCCAUUUUGCAUGUAAUACUUCUUGGCUUGUUAUAAAGUCCCUCACUUCAUGUACAACCCAUUCAUUGGUCUUACCAAUCAGCAGUCUUAUUUCCUUUCCUCCACUACACUGUUAAUGAUAUAAGGGGCGUAUAUAUGAUUUUCAACCAUUUAUUUCAGAACCCUCCAAACAUUGUCAAAAUAUCCCUUAAUCUGAUUAGGAUCAAUUAAGCCAUAGUGUAACAGCUUUAAUUUCUUCAAGGAAAUUAUAUAUAAAGUGGCAGGAGAAAAUUUUAGCCCCAGUGGAAUGACUUACUCCACAAUGUUCUUAUUUCUUACUCACUUAGAUGUGCUUGUCUGUAUGUAUGAUUUGCAACAUGAAAUAGAAAUUUUUAUUGAAAACUUUGAAUAAGACACCAAAUGGAUUUUUGGAUGGGUUUUAAUUUGUUUCACAUUUUAGAGCAGAAAGACUAGAGUACUGCUUAAUGUUAUAUGGCCUUGUACAUUCUCCUUUUUCAUAGAAAUAUUUUUAGGCACGUGUAAUUUAAGAUAAAUAAAAUUAGUAGCUUCUAGGAUACAUUUGUAAUUCAUAUUGCUCACAAGCCUUUAUUUUUUGACCCCAGCGGCCCCUAAUACAAGUAAGCCCUGAUUAUGUUCCUUUUUGGAAUGAUGUAUUGUCUGGAUCAUUUUACCAUGAUAGCUACUAAUGUUAUUGAUGUGCACAAGAAAAUGCAUGCAAAACUAACUAGUACUUUCAAUAUCUAUAAGUUCUGUCAUAUUUUUUAGAUUGAAAGUAGGAAUACCAAUGGCCAUGUCACUAUUCAUUUGUACCAAUUGAUUCUUACUAGAGCUUAAAUAUAAGCAUGUUUGAUGCAAGAAACUUGUACAGGGAUAGAGAACAUCUAAUACGUAUGGUUACUCACAGUUUAUAAUACAAGGGAGACAUUGAGUCUAAAACGUACAAAGCAAUCACAAUUAGGUUCACCUUUACCUACCCACAAACACAAUGCAGAUUAAACACCUUUCAUACUUGACUAUAUAGUAAUCUGCAUAAUCCCAUGAAUUGUUCUACACUGCACAACUAUCUGGAAGUUAAUAUUCAGUUCAUUGCUUUUCGCCUUAUAAUGAAAAGUAUACCAUGAUUUUCCUCCUGAAACUAAUAUAACCUUCUCAGUCUUUUUGAACUUGCGCACUCGCCUCCAAGUAUAGAGACUAAUAUUACAGAUUUUUAUAUUGCCUUGUAAUUGCACAUCCAAUUUGAGUCCUCCUUACAAACUCUUUUCUACUACCUGGUCAACUGCAUAAGAUGGAUAAGGCAUGGAUGCAUAUUGAGGAUAGAUUGCAUUCCAAUCAGUUCGCUGAAGGUGUUAGACAAUUCCUAGCUAUGGCGCGAGCCCACACACCUAGUUCUGAUCAGAUUAGGUGUCCAUGUAGGAGAUGCUGGAAUACAACUUUCCACCCCAUUCGUAUAGUUGAAGAUCAUUUGUUCUUCAAAGAUUGAAAGUAGUGGUCCACUUUAUCCAACCACUUGUACGGAUCUCCCCUACUAAACUUGGGAAAAUCAACUUUAGGUCUCUUAGGUCCCCAAUCAUAAGCCCGGUUUCCUCUUCUCUCAUCAUAGUGCUCAUCAUCAUAUCUUCUCUCAUGGUGUCUUCUUCCCUCAAAGUGGUCUCCAUGGCCAUAGGAACCAAUCCCUCAAGAGUGAUGCUUGAGGAAAAGGAACCAAUCUCCCUCAAACCUUAAAGGUGGAGGCUUGCCUAUAUCGUAGGAGCCAAGUGUUCUUUUGAGAUGUACAUAGUCUUUUUUCUAAAGGGCGACCACUUGUAUUUGGUCCAUUGUCCAUCAGGCGAUGAACGAACUGUUUGGGCUUGUACAUAUUUCAACAUUUGGAAUUAAUGAAGAAUGACAUUAAUUAUUCCUAUGUUGUGAAUUUAGAUUUUCUGGUACUGCAAGGUCUUAGUCACCAACUAAUCCUCUAUUUUUCUGUUGUGAGUUUAUGUCUGAAACUUGACAUGUGCACUUCCAUUUGGAGCUAGGCAUGCUAGAUUCUCGACCAACAUUAGGUGUUGGCACCCUUGGCACCACAGAUUCUUGCCAUGAUUUCUAUAAAGGAACGGGGUGCCAUGUAUUGUGUUGUAGCUUCUAGUAAGAUUGUAAAUGAAUCCAAAACCAAACUUACAUUCAACAGGAAUCCUAGUAACAUAUAUAAUAGAAGAAUCAAGGAGAUAUGGGGUGUGCAAGAGGCUAUGAGACAUGAAAUAUAUUGAGGUUUACUAGCUAUAAUUGGCAAAUCAAAGUUUAGAUCUUUGAGAGAUGUCAAAUAAGGGUUUGGAAAAAAUUACAAGGCAGGAGGAAAAGUUGAUAUCUCAACUAGGCCAAGAAGUAUUAAGAAAGGCAAUUGCAUGUUAAUGUUAUAGAUUCUCAAGCCAGCAUAGGAUGCAACUCUAAUGAUCAUGUAGGCCAUGACUUAAGUUAGAGCAUAUCCCCAGACAAUCCUAAUCCAUGCCAUGUUCAAUCUUCAAGAUCUUCACAGCCAACUCAACCUAUUAUCAAGGAUUCUACUGUCACAUACUAAGAUUGUAUUUAAUACUUUGUUUCCAUUUUUAGCUUGAUUGAUUUGUUGUACAGAAAUUAUUGUAUUUACUCAACUGCUAUAAUUACUCAUGAAGUUGGGUAUAUGUUUACUUUUAGCAUAUCAAUGAAAUCAUUGAGCUUUUCCUAGCAUCCUUUGUUUGUUUUCUUACAUGAUAUCAUGAGCCACACAUUUUAUACCAAUUUCGAUCCGAAUGGCUAAAAUCUCCUCUCACUUCUUCCUUUCUUAUCCCCAACAUUACACAAUUUAUCUCCAUUAAAAUUUUUUUUGAUCGGUAAUCAAGAAGUUUUAUUCAUCAUAAGUGGCAAAUCCCAAGUACAUAGGGCAUAUACUUGAAAGAUACCUAUCUAGAGUUUACAACCGAAAUAAGAAAGUCAUGAACAUUUAGUCCAUUACAUACAAUGGCUCCCACCCAAGAAAACAAAGUUUUGAAGAAAAAAACUUUCAGCUCCCCCAUUGUUCUCUCAUGGUCUUCAAAACUUCUGUCAAUUCUCUCUUGCCAUAUGCACCAACACAUGCAUAUGGGUACCAUUUUCCAUAUUGCUGCCACCUGUGAAUCUCCUCGUAGUCCACUCUAGCAAGCUAGAAAAUCCACCAAUCUAUGGGGCAUGACCUAUGCUACUCCAAGACCCGUAAAGAAAUCUGCCCACAUGGUCCUAGCCACCUCACAGUGUAGAAACAGAUGAUCAACUGAUUCUCCAUCUUUCUUGCACAUACAACACCAAUCCAUUACCAUUACCCGACGUCUUCUUAGGUUAUCUGUGGUGAGAAUUUUACCUAGUGCUGCUGUCCACACAAAGAACGCUGUUUUUGAAGGAGCUUUCGUCUGCCAAAUGCUUUUCCAAGGGAAAUUGAGCAUGCCUGGGCUGGAUAAAACUUUGUGAAACGAUCUGACCGUGAAUUUACCUUUCUUUGAGGGACUCCACAGUAUCCUAUCCAUGGAGUCCUCUGUCAUGUGUAUUGAAUACAGUGUUGCAUAGAAUUCUGUGAUAACCUCCAACUUCCAAUCUUGUGCUGCCCUAGAAAAUUCCACAUUCCAAUAAGGGACGCCAUUAGAGAAAACCAACAAAUCCGCUAUCAUUGCAUCCUUGACUCGUGCUAGCUCGAAUAUGGCGGAGAAGUUGUCUUUGAGGCUCCGUUCACCACACCAUUUGUCAUGCCAGAAUCUAACUCUCGAUCCAUCCCCCACUACAAUAUGAGUAUGUCUCCUGAAGGUCUCCCAACCGUUCCUAAUGUUCUUCCACAAGCCCACCCCAUGUGGUCCACGAACCUCAUUUGAACACCAACCACCCCAUGCCUUCCCAACACGUUCAGCUAUAACUGACUUCCACAGAGUGAGUCUAAAGACAUAAAGUAGGUGGGGAGGUUAGCUAAGGUAGUUUUAAUCAAAGUGAGUCUACCACCUUUAGAUAAAUACAACCUUUUCCACGACGGCAACCUUCGCUCCAUUUUUUCAUUCCAAAUCUGUUCAGAUUUGAAAGUGGCACCAAGGGUAAACCAAGAUGCUGCAAGGGUAGAGAAGAAACCUUACAUUGCAAUAGAGCAGCAAGACCCGCCACUUCAGGAACAUUCCCCACCGGUACCAAUUCAGACUUGGAUAGAUUUACUUUCAAACCUGAUACCGCUGCAAAACAGAGAAGUAACGCCCUCAAAGAUUGUAUGUGCCCAAGAUGUGCUCCACAGAAAAUGAAAGUAUCAUCAGCAAAUAACAAAUGGGAAAUGUAACUAGAACCAUUCCCCACUGAGAAACCAUAGAGAUGACCCGCUUCCACAAGCCCUUCAAUCAUCUUACUGAGAGCUUCCAUGACAAAAAGAAAGAGUAGCGGAGAGAGCGGAUCUCCCUGUCUCAAACCACGUGAGGAGUCAAAGAAACUCACCAGUGAACCAUUUACCAAGAUAGAGAAGCGAGUUGUUGAAAUGCAAAACUCCACCCAUUUUAGCCAUUUCUCUCCAAAGCCACAUCUUGCCAAUAAGUAAAGCAAGAAUUUCCAGUUAACAUGAUCAUAGGCUUUUUCCAUAUUUAGUUUGCAGAUCAACCCAGGCUCAUGGGCUUUGAUUCUUCCAUCUAGCACUUCGUUUGCAAUAAGAACCGAAUCUAGAAUUUGUCAGCCUUUGACAAAUGCAUUUUGUGGCUUCGAUAUUAAUCUCUCCAUUACUGUACUCAAACGAUUCGCUAGUACUUUGGAAAUAAUCUUGUAGACCCCAGUUAUCAAGCUAAUAGGACGAUAGUCUCGAACAUCUGUUGACCCCGCCUUUUUUGGGAUAAGUGCUAUAAAAGUGGCAUUGAGACUUUUUUCGAAACUGGCGUGAUUAUAGAAUUCUAGAAACACCUGCAUGAGGUCACCCUUGAUCACCUCCCAACAAGUUUGGAAAAAGCCCAUAGUAAAACCAUAAGGACCUGGGGCCUUAUCACUAGCCAUUCUUCGGAUAACUUUGUGUACUUCUUCUUCGUCAAAUGGUCUCUCAAGCUGCUCUAAAGACCGUUGAUCUAUUGUUGAGAAAGACAACCCAUCAACUGUAGGUCUCCAUUGUUGUUGUUCGACUAGUGAGUGUUCAUAAUACUGUGCAAUGUGGUCCUUGAUGCUUGCUUUAUCCGAACAGACUACUCCAUCCACCAUCAAUGUGUCGAUGGUGUUGUUCCUCCGAUGUGAAUUAGCCACCCUAUGAAAGAACUUCGUACACCUGUCCCCCUCCUUAAGCCAUAGUGCUCUGGAUUUCUGUCUCCAAGAUAUCUCCUCCAUCAAUAAAGCUUGUUCAAGAUCUGUGACUACCUGAUUCUUGUGGGUUUUUUCCGCUUCAGUGAGAACUCUUGCCUCCUACUCACCCUCCUGGCCCUGUAAUUCCUCCAUAAGGGAUCGUUGUUGUGAAAGCACAUUACCAAACACUUGUUCAUUCCAUAGCUUCAAAUCUUGUUUCCGUGCUUUCAAUUUUCUUGCCAAAAUGUAACUCGGAGAGCCUUGGAACACGUAAGAGGACCACCAUUGUCUGAUCCUGUCUACAAAACCAUAAGAUUUUAGCCACAUAUUCUCAAAUUUAAAAUACCUUCUGCCUCCUUGAAUACCUCCACAGUCUAAGAGGAUAGGGAAAUGAUCUGAGCACACUCUAUGUAGGCGUCUUUGGGUUACAUCAGGAUAAUGUAGGUGAGGAAACUACCUAGGUUACAUCAGGAUAAUGUAGACACCUCAAACUACCUUAUGUAAGGUAGAAACCUAGGUGUCCACCUUUCUACAUUAGGAUAAGGUAGAAACCUAGGUAGGUUACAUCAGGAUAAUGUAGGUGUCCACCAUUAAAAUUGACACCUCAAACUACCUAGGUUUCUCAAUUUUUGCCUAUCUUGCGCACCUAUGACCUCCUCGGCAUCGUAGAAGGCACAAAAUCCUGCCCUUGACAAUAUCUUCCUAUUUCCGAAGAUAAUCUUAUCCUCUAAUUCAAUCCAACCUUAGUCCUAUGGACCAAAAUGGAUCAGUUUAUGCUAAUGCCAGCCUCAUUGAAGGUGUCCUUUCCAUUGUCUAUGGUCUCAACACUUCUAAACAUGUAUGGACCUCACUUGUUGCUAGGUUGCUUCACAUUCAAGGUCUUAUAUAGCCUAGAUCAAAAGGAAACUCCAAACUCUCAAUCAAAACUCAAAAUCAUGCACUACAUCUCUUCUAUUGGCUAAACAAUAUGCUAACCAAUUGCUACCAUGGGCAAAUCUCUUAAAGAUGAUGAUCCCAUCUCCUAUAUUAUUAGUGGUCUCCACCCAACUUAUACUACCAUUGUGAUUUUAGUGGUUCACUAAAAUCAUUUUAGAAGGUGAUUCUUCUAGCAUUAUAGAUAGCCUUCAAAGAGAGUCUCCACUACUUUCUCAUCAGGGAUGCAUCUUGGAAUAGCUUAGAACACUCCUAACAAAUUUCAUGAAGUUUCCCAUGCCGGUAGAGAAGGGAAUGAAGCCACUCAUAUAAGUAUAUGCGCAAAAGGUUACAAGCAUAUCAAAAUCCAAGAUAGGCAACCAAAUCAUUCAAGUUGGACUGGCUCUUGAAGCACUUGUUGGAGUUUUAUCAUUGCUACAAUGGAGUGGUCUCAAUUGGUACCAAUGAGUAUUCUUCCCUAGAAAUUUUGUGUAAUACCAUCAGAGUGGGUUUGAGCUUAAAAAUUGAGAAGUGUUACAGACACAAAAAAGUUACACAAAAAUAAACCCAAAAAUAGUCAUGACUUCAUUUGAUCCAUUAGAUCUACUUUACGAUAAAAGUAACUUUACCAUCUUAGGUGCUACAUCAAGCCACGUCACUUUGCGAUUUUAAUUUUAUGCAAUUUCUUUAUAGUUAAAGUAUUUUUCUUAAAAUCCUGGGUUGUGAUGAUUACACUUGGAAGUUUUGAAGAAAAUAUCUGAAGCCUGAGGACAAGCUUCUUUCAAGGGUGUGAGAAUUAUUGUGUACCCAAAGUAGCCAGCUAAUCUACUGCCAACGGUCAGCCAUGAGACAUUAUAACCUUCCAUAGAAGAACCAACAAGUGACAAGAAGAUGGUAUAGGCCAAUGACACAUGUUCUUGGAGAUGGACCAAAUAGGAUUGCUGGCAACAGUAAUUUUAGAUAUCUAUAUUUUCUAGUUAUUUAAUGUAAAAUGUUAUCAGUUAUUAAGUCUUGAUACAUUAGGCUUAAGGGUUACUAUUAGUUAUGGGUAGUUUUUCUUUUUCUUUUUCUUUAUAUUUUUUUAUUUCUUUUAUGGGUAGUUAUCAUGGUUUCCUGUAUGUGUGUUUAAUCCGUUAGAGAGACGAAGAAUCUUUAGAAGAAAAUUGUGAGUUUAUGUAUUUGCGAGAGUGGCUUUUCCAACAAUUGAUUAUGUGCAAUUGUAGUAUAAUUAUUUUAGUUUUGUGUUGGUUUGGUACCUUUCAAAGAUGUUUCAAAACCCAUAAAUAAUUCAUGUUAACCUGAAAGGAAUUUCAAAUCAAAUCACAACAAUUGAUCAGAAUAAAUCCCAAAUCAAAUCCCUGAAAAAAAAAAAGCACCUUAUACGACUCAUUUCCCUCCCAGCAAUCCCCUGCUUUCUAUCUUCCCUCAUGGUGGGUUUUGUUUUUUCUAUCCUAAAUCCAAAGUGAAAGACAUUGCCACAGACUACAACCCACGCAAUGGAUAUCAAAAGAUUCGAUUUUGAUGGUUGCAAGUUUUACCGCUGAUGAUAUAUUGACAAAAGCUGAUCAUCCCAGCAAGAAAAGCAACUCGUAUCGUCUAGGCGUUGGCUAUUGAAAAGUAUGUACAAUGCCGCCAAUUUCAUAUCUGAGCCCUAUAUUUUUUUUUUAUUUGUUUAUUUCAUUUCGAAUGACCUUUUAGUUCCUUGGAAACUUUUGUAUGUGUGAUUGAAAUGGGUUUAUGUUAUAAAUUUGUAUGUGUUUUCAAUUAUGAACAUAGUAAUAAUAAGUUGAACAAAAGAGAAUUAUGGUAGUUCAGGAGCCAAGGAUCUUCAGAAACACUCGUGCAAAUAGGACUGAAAAGAUGAUUUUCAUUACAUUAGUCUGGUCCUCAAAUACAAGAUAAAAAUAACAGAAAGCCAAAAUAAUUGCAACAACUAAAAUUAUUGAAACGAGAGAGACACCCACGUGCCUUAGCGGUCAAAGACCUGUUCUAACUCCAGUCUAAGCACAUAAUUAAAACCAAUAGAACAUACUAACAAAAUUGACACUAAUAACCCAUUCAAUUAAAGGAAAUAAGACAGAAGAAGCACUGCACGUGGCAAGGCAAUCCGAAUCCUUCGUUCAGCUCCUAACACAGUCCCUCUUUUUAAAAUCCUUCCCCUCAUGGUCUGGAAACUUCUACCUGAGCUCAUCUAGAUCUUCCCACGUAGCAUCUUCAGGAGUAGCUCCCUUCCAUUGAAUCAAUAUAUCAACUCUACCUUGUGUUCCCUUCUCUUCCAUCCUUUUCGCUAAUACUUGGUUUAGUUCAGGAGAUAAGAGUCCCAUCCGACAUGAUGGAUGGAAGGUUGGGGAUGAGGUUAAUGUGAGGUCCAAGUUUCUUAUUAAGGAAUGAGACAUGAAAAACAGGAUAAAUUUGUGAGUCAAUUGGGAGAUUAAGCUUGUAUGCGACCUUAUAAAUUCAGUUGAUCACCUGGGAGGGACUGUAAUAUUUUGGGGAAAACUUCAAGUUCUGCAGGAGUGCCACUGUCAUUUGCCGAUAUGGUCGCAACCUCAGUGGAGCUUGGUUCAUAAGGUAGGAGACGUGGCAGUUGGUGACUGUAAACAAUCUCAAAGAGGCUGACUGGGUAAAGGUGUACGACCAUUCUGCCAAGGAAAACCAUCGUGCCCUAUUCUUCGGUCGGUCACCUAAGAAGCACGUGAGGUCCUAUACACAUGGCAUGGAAAGAUAUAUUGAAUUGAUGACCACCUCUAGAUUGAAGAGUGCCGUAUGCACUUCAUCCCACCAACUCAACCCAAGUCCAAAAAGGAGGCUAAAACCAAGAAGAGGCAUGUUGAAAAGAAAAACAAAUAAAUAUGGAAGUGCAUGCCGUGCCAUGCUUGACUUGGAGGAAGGAGUUUGGCAGCACCAACUUGAAUUCAACCAUCUAUAUAUAUAUAUAUAUGUGUGUGUGUGUGUGUGUGUGUGUGUGUGUGUGUGGCUGGACGGUGCAGUAGGUACAAGAGAGUGAGUUUUCAACCAAGAGAUUCCGUGCUUGAGCUUUCAACCAAGGGAUUCAUGAAAUGAAAAAGAGUAUCGGUGCAUGAGUAGGUGAGAAAUUGAAGAUGGAAGUCAACUGGAAUAACAUGAUUAAAGGGAAGUUGUUGGCUGAAACAUGAUCCCAUUAAAGUGAAGAGAACCGGUGCAUUUGAGCUACAUAAACAUAUGAAAAGCUAGAAAGUGAUCCGGUUAUUAAAUGAAGAAAAAGAUGGUCUAUUUGAGCUGCUGUCCACCGAAUUGUCUCCACCAAAUUUGACAUUAAAAAAGUCAUCAAAGGCUGCUGCCUUUCCACUGAAUUGAACAA